GUGUGCGUAAGGAAUGAAGUGAUCAGACUGGAUUAUCUCAGUCCGAUAGUACUCCGGUGCUGUGUAAUCUUCAUUCUUAAACACACACUCACACGAGAAUACACAAACUGCACGGAGAUAUCCUCUCAGGUGGAUGUGAACACUGUCUCUGCUCUCUGACACAACUGCUCCCACACACAGGUCUGACUGAAGAGAACAUACGACAGACAUGUCUAGCAAUGUGGACAGGCAGGCAGUCCUCCGCAACACAAAGGUUCGAACAGCACUGCGGAAAGAUGGCAGUUGGAUUCACAGGAGCUCUGAAGAACUCAGUGAUAACCAUGAACCCAGUGAGCCCCCAGUCCCAGUAAAGCUUGUGGGAUCCAGACUUUUCUCGACCGCUGCCGCACAAACCCCACCUAGCCCCGCCCCUCAGAACCAGGACACGCCCACCACUCCAGACACGCCCACCGCUCCAGAUAC